UAUGUGAUCGUCUCUCGCAUAUCAAUAAGCGGAGGAAAAGAAACUAACAAGGAUUCCCCUAGUAACGGCGAGUGAAGCGGGAAGAGCUCAAAUUUGAAAUCUUAAAGGGUUUCCCUUUACGAAUUGUAGUUUAAAGAAGUGUUUUCUGUUGAGGUUUUGGUAAAAGUUCUUUGGAAUAGGACAUCAUAGAGGGUGAGAAUCCCGUAUUUGACCUUUACUUUCAACUUUGUGAUACACUUUCAAAGAGUCGGAUUGUUUGGGAAUGCAGUCCAAAAUGGGUGGUAAAUUUCAUCUAAAGCUAAAUAUUGGCGAGAGACCGAUAGCGAACAAGUACCGUGAGGGAAAGAUGAAAAGGACUUUGAAAAGAGAGUUAAACAGUACGUGAAAUUGUCAAAAGGGAAGCGUUUGACACCAGUGUUGUUUUUCUGAAAAUCAAUUAAAGAACUGUUUAUGCUAAGUUGUUUAGACUUUAUCAGCUAACUGUUUAGUUUUGAGCUUUUCUUUAAUGCACUUUUCAGUUAACAAGUCAACAUCAAUUUCUUUUGCUGUAAAAAAGCUUGAGGAAGGUGGCUUGAGAUUCGUCUUAAGUGUUUAUAGCCUCUUGCCUAUGCAGUCGGAGAGAUUGAGGUCUGCAGCGUAGAUCCUUCGGGGCUAAAUGCAUUUGUGCUAAGUUAUAGCAUUUUAUAGACAACUUGUUGACUAUGAUUUGUCUUGUAGCUUACUCGCUUAUGUUAUUUUACCUACGCUUAGGAUGUUGAAUCUGUGCGAGACUAC
rnacentral:rRNA from 1 species